AAGUCGUAACAAGGUUUCCGUAGGUGAACCUGCGGAAGGAUCAUUAAAGAGACGUACGCCCUUCGGGGUAUACCUCCCACCCUUUGUUUAUAUUACCUGUGUUGCUUUGGCUGACCUGCCCUUGGGCUCCCGGCUUCGGCUGGGUCGUGUCAGCCAGAGGAAUAUCAAACUCUGAUUGUAUUUAUUGUCUGAGUAAUAACUUAAUAGUUAAAACUUUCAACAACGGAUCUCUUGGUUCUG
rnacentral:misc_RNA from 1 species